GUGGUGGAAGCCAGUUGGCGUUGGCCUCACAGUGAGAGUCCAGGAAGGUGAUGACUUCUCCUUUAGCAGCACCGGCUCCCAGCAGGCGAGUCCUGAUCAGCCCCUCCCUCUUCUUGGUCCUCAUGAUGCGAACUUUGGGCAUACGCAUCAUGUAUUCCUCCAACGGCAACUUCAGGUGCUCUUUGUCUCUGAAGUCGUUGA